CGGAGGGAUUUGUCCCGCUGUCCCAAAUUGACAGUGAACAAAACAACAAUGAAGACUACACAUGAUGGUGGACAUGAUGUACUUUGUGGACGCCGUCUCUGCUCCACACGCAGACAUCUGCUGAUUGGAGUAAGCCUUGCUCUGGUUUGUCGACAAAUUGGAAGUUGCUGGAAGUCUUCAAAGUACCCCAAAACUGCGGGAAGAACUGUGGAC